rnacentral:rRNA from 1 species
AGAGUUUGAUCCUGGCUCAGGACGAACGCUGGCGGCACGCUUAACACAUGCAAGUCGAACGGAGAACAUUGAGCUUGCUUAAUGUUCUUAGUGGCGGACGGGUGAGUAACACGUGAGUAACCUGCCUCUGAGAGUGGGAUAGCUUCUGGAAACGGAUGGUAAUACCGCAUAACAUCAUGGAUUCGCAUGUUUCUAUGAUCAAAGAUUUAUCGCUCAGAGAUGGACUCGCGUCUGAUUAGCUAGUUGGUAAGGUAACGGCUUACCAAGGCGACGAUCAGUAGCCGACCUGAGAGGGUGAUCGGCCACAUUGGAACUGAGACACGGUCCAAACUCCUACGGGAGGCAGCAGUGGGGAAUAUUGCACAAUGGGCGAAAGCCUGAUGCAGCGACGCCGCGUGAGCGAAGAAGUAUUUCGGUAUGUAAAGCUCUAUCAGCAGGGAAGAAGAAUGACGGUACCUGACUAAGAAGCACCGGCUAAAUACGUGCCAGCAGCCGCGGUAAUACGUAUGGUGCAAGCGUUAUCCGGAUUUACUGGGUGUAAAGGGAGCGCAGGCGGUGCGGCAAGUCUGAUGUGAAAGCCCGGGGCUCAACCCCGGUACUGCAUUGGAAACUGUCGUACUAGAGUGUCGGAGGGGUAAGUGGAAUUCCUAGUGUAGCGGUGAAAUGCGUAGAUAUUAGGAGGAACACCAGUGGCGAAGGCGGCUUACUGGACGAUAACUGACGCUGAGGCUCGAAAGCGUGGGGAGCAAACAGGAUUAGAUACCCUGGUAGUCCACGCCGUAAACG